GACGAACGCUGGCGGCGUGCCUAAUACAUGCAAGUAGGACGCAGUUGCGAACGUGUGAGUAACGCGUCGGUCACUACCUAUUAGAGGGGGCUAACUAUUGGAAACGAUAGCUAAUACCGCAUACUAGUAGAUUGACCUGCGUUGUAUUAGCUAGUAGGUCGGGUAAUGGCCUACCUAGGCAACGGUACAUAGCCGAGCUGAGGGGGUGAUCGGGCACACUGGGACUGGGACACGGGCCCAAACCCUACGGGAGGGAGCAGGAGGGAAACUUCGGCAAUGGGGGGAACCCUGGACGAAGAACGGCGCGGGAGUGGAGGAGGGUUUCGGGUCGUAAAGCUCUGUUGUUAAGGGAGCGGUACUUAAACAGAAAGGGACGGCUAACUACGUGCCAGCAGCCGCGGUAAUUC
rnacentral:rRNA from 1 species